rnacentral:rRNA from 1 species
AUGAAAACUCCCAUACCGUACCGCUCUCCCUUCCACUUCACCACCAUCGUCAACACCAAGCUCGGGGACAAUACGAGACAUGAAGACAACGUCCAUUAUAGCAGCUUAAGCGAAGGGCAGAGUUGUGUGUUUGGACGCACGCACACCACGCCAUUCAACAAGCAAGUCCAUGGAGCCGGCCCAAGAAAGGCUGUUUGGCGCUGCCCAAAAGAAGAGCCCGAGAAGCCCAGGAAGCUGCUCUUUGGAGCCCACGAAUAUGUAUCAUACAAGAUUACAAGUCCUCACCCCUCACCGGAACGCCUCUUCCUGCCGCCGCCGCCGCCGCCGCCGCCGCAGCCCUCCACUUCCCCGCCGCCACCGCGUGCUCUGCUCGCUCGCGUCCUCUCCGUCGCCAACACCGCCGCUCGUCCGUCCAAGAUGGUGCUGCAGAACGACAUCGGCCUCCUCUGCCCGCCGGCGGAGCUCGAGAAGCUCAAGCACAAGAAGAAUAGCGCCUCGUGCCGUCCCCCGACUCCUUCUUCAUGCCACUCUCAGACCGUGGUGGUGUGCCCAGCCUGGCAGAUGGUGCUCUGCCAGCCUACAGGAGGAAAGGCGAGGCUCACCGAGGGAUGCUCCUUCCGCCGCAAAGGCAACAAAAGGCUUGUUUGGUUCUCAUAG